UUGUAUAAAAUAAAAUAAUAUGUGAAAAAAAAGGGCUAUAUGUAAUAUUAUAACAAAAUAUAGAAACUAUAUGAAUUAAAGAGGGCUAUCCUAGGAAAUUCUCUCAAAUAGUCAUUUUUAAUUUUUUGUCACAAAAAUAUUCCUAAAAAAAUGACCAAAACAGCUUACUUUUUAUUUUGAAAUUUUUAACAUUUAUUUUUUAUUUUUUUAAAUUUGAAACUCUAUCCCAAAAACUCAAUCAAUUAACUUUAAUAAAAUUUAUUUUAGUCAUUUUCUUCUUUGAAUGUUAUUUUUGUGAAAAUAAACUAAAAAGACUAUCCUAGGAAAUUUCUCUUAUUUUAUUUUAAAAUUUAGUUUUUUAAAGUCUAAAAUCAAUAGAGCAAUUUUCUCAAAUAAACCUUUUUAAGUUUUUGUCACAAAAAGCAUUCAAAAAAGAAAAUGACCAAAAUAACUCUUUUUUAUUUUUAAAAAUUUGAAACAUAUCCCCAAAACGUUACCCCAAAACGUUACCCCUUAACUCUAAACUCUAAGUCCAGAAUAGUUAACCCUACGGUAAAAUAUAUUUUUAUCUUUUAAUAAAAUUUAUUUUGGUCAUUUUCUUCAUUGAAUGAUAUUUUUGUGACAAAAACUUAAAAAAGACUAUUGUAGAGAAUUUCUGGAAUCUCAAUAAGUAGUAUAAAGAGAAUUAGGUGGCAUAUACCUGCAAAAAUCUUGAAUUAAGUGUUUGAAUGGAAGAGUGAGACAAAGACAGUUCAUCCACUUGGGCAAGAGAACUGCUUUUAUAUCGCCAUUCAUGUUUUUUUUAGUUGUAAAAAUAUUACGCAGAAGAACUGCUUUUUUUUUGUCCUUUUCUGCAUAAAAGCAGGAUAUCUACAGGCAAUUUGACCCAUCCCAUUUUUGAUGAUGUUCAGUUGUUCUACUUUUCAUUUAACCAAUAGAUAAUUUUCUCUAAAAUAAAUUAAUUCUAAAAAUAUUUUAGAAGAGGCUUCAUGUUGGUUAUGUUAACUAAUCACACACUUUAUUUAAAAAUUUCUAUAUUUAUAGUUAAAUAAAUUCGUAAUUUAAAAAAAUACUCUCGUUUAUCUGAUUUAGGUAUAAUUGAUUUAUUUAACUUCUAAUUUAAUAUAUAUAUGAAUAUAAAUUAGCAAAGAGGGUUUUUCAAGAAAAUUGAUUAUGUGGGUUAGUUAAAUAUCUAUUAUUAUAUUUACAAGAUGUGUUUAAUUAUAAUGUCUAUUAUGCAAAAUAUAGUAAUAUAAUUUAAAUAUGUAGGUUAGUUAAAAUUAUUUUAUUUAUAUAUUGAUUUCAAAACUGUGGUAACAUGGUUUCAGUGCAAGAUUUAUUGUUGUGUAUGUAUUAUAUUUCAAUAUUUAUGUAUUUUGAUAUAUUUUAUUAUAAUUUUAUGUAUUUAAACAAUAAUUUGUUUUAUUUGAACUAUUUUUAUCAUUCAAAAUUAUAAUAGUUAUUUGAUUUACCUGCGUGAUCUGCUUGAUCUGCAUCUCUCCUGCAUGAUCCAUUUUAUCUGUAUUUCUCCUGCAUGAUCCGUUUGAUAUGCAUCUCUCCUGCAUGAUCUGCUUGAUUUGCAUCUCUCCUGCAUGAUCCGUUUGAUCUGUACUUCUUCGGCUUGAUUUGCAUGAUUCGUUUGAUCUGCACUGUUUGAACUCCUUUUACCAUUCGGAAUCUAAGUAACUACCCGUUCCCUAUUCAUAACACUAUUGAUUUUUCAAUAACCCAACACUGCCCCUACCAACCUAUACAUCUAUGUUAUCUUAGCUAAGAUACGUUAUCUCAUCAAAAUCCAUAGCCUUUCUCUCUCUCUUUCUUCUCAUUUCUUUUCUCAGAAGUUUUCCUUUCACCUGUUUGCUUUUUUUCCUCACUUUUUUUUUUUGUGAUUUUGGAAAUACACAUCUGGUGUAUCUCAUGAAUCGAGAUCAUGGAGAAUAUUCCCUCCAACUGUAAUCAUUUUGAGGAUCCGAAAAUCACAUUUAGGCCCCAUAGCUUUAUGCAAGAAUAUCAAGAACUUCAUAUGUCACAACGACAAGCCUAUGUUGUUAGACAUCGUUUGAUUCCUCGCGCAUCUCUUGAACCAGCAAGUCAAAGAGAUUGACUCAAAUGAUGAUUGAGGAGAAACAAAAGAAAACAAAAAGUCAAAGAGAAGAAGGAAAGAGACGACAUUGCUGAUCAAGCCGAUGAUGAAUUAUCUUAUGCACCCAACCCUAACUAGAUGGAUAACCUUGUUGGUAGCCUUGUGAAUCACAAAAUUGAUAAAUCGCUAACCAUUUGAGUAGUGUGACAUUAAUCUUUGUUAAAUGAUUACUUUAAUUUGUAAUGUAACUGUAUCAUCUUAGAUGCUAACUUGUUUUAUAGCAAUUGUGACAAAUGAUAUAUUUUAUGGUUAACA